rnacentral:rRNA from 1 species
UACAGAGGUCCCAAGCGUUGUUCGGAUUCACUGGGCGUAAAGGGUGCGUAGGUGGCAGGGUAAGUUUGGUGUGAAAUCUCCGGGCUUAACCCGGAAACUGCAUUGAAUACUAUCCUGCUCGAGGUUUGGAGGGGGGACUGGAAUUCUCGGUGUAGCAGUGAAAUGCGUAGAUAUCGAGAGGAACACCAGUGGCGAAGGCGAGUCCCUGGACAACACCUGACACUGAGGCACGAAAGCUAGGGGAGCAAACAGG